rnacentral:rRNA from 1 species
UACGUAGGUUGCGAGCGUUGUCCGGAAUUAUUGGGCGUAAAGAGCUCGUAGGCGGUGUGUCACGUCGUUCGUGAAAACCUGCAGCUUAACUGUGGGCGUGCGGUCGAUACGGGCAUCACUGGAGUUCGGCAGGGGAGACUGGAAUUCCUGGUGUAGCGGUGAAAUGCGCAGAUAUCAGGAGGAACACCGGUGGCGAAGGCGGGUCUCUGGGCCGAUACUGACGCUGAGGAGCGAAAGCGUGGGGAGCAAACAGG